AGCUGCAGAGACCUACCUGUGUUUGCUGUGGCGACUGUCCGGGCCAAAGCUCAGGCAGCUGGAAGUAUCAGUGAAGCCAGAAGAUUCUAGCUGUUCAGGGUCUGUGAGGAGGAGUCAAGGUCUGGGGUUUGUGUCCUCUGGCAUAGCAAUGGCACUGCAAUGGGGGAGCCUGUUGCUGGGCUGGGCCAUCUCGCCACUGUCACCUGCCUGUUGAGGGGUGACGGUGGUUGUUGAGAGGCUGGAUCAGACCCCAGAGGUGACAUGGAUGUGGCAUAUUUGUUGGACUUACACAGCCUUGCAUUUUAUUUUCAUCUCUGUUCCUUCCUCCCAUGAGAUCUUGGGUGGUGUUUAUCAACCCUGAGUAAUCGUUUCUUUGUCUGCAAGAUGGAAUAAAAAGGCCUACCUCAUUGGGCUCGUGUGGGUGAGGAGAACUGAAGAGUCUGAGAGCGCGGCACGAGCCAGAGGCUACGGAAAACACUGCCCUCCUACACUCCACCUUGGAGAGACCCAGAAAAGAACAAGCUUCAUUUGUAAAAAAGGAAAACAACUCAGGCAAUGGGGGUGGCUUAAAGGCACUCUACAGUGUGCAGAUGCCUUCCACUUCUUCCAUCUGCCCUGUCUCUCCAAGAACCCCUAUGGCCCCGGUCUCAGAACAGAGCUGAGUGCAGAAAUGAAAAUCUAUGGCUCUGUGUUCCAAAACGAUGAAGAAUUUCAAGAUGGUGGCAGUGGUAAAAUCUUUCUCCAGGAAAAAUCUGUCCUUGGCCCAAUGUGUAAACACUUGCUGAGGAACUUGGAAUAACUUGCAGUGUCUUGCAGUAUUGUGAAACCAGCAACUUGUUCACAAUUCUUCUGAAUUUCUUGGGAAAUUUGAAGUGGAGUACCUGUACCAACAUGAAAUGACACGAAUUUAAGUGACGCUCAACAACGAAAAGCAAAAAGAACCAAAGAGGAAGCAACUGAAACAACAUCUGGAUGUAUUUAAAAAUAUACAAUGCCUCCAAAAUCAGGUGUCAUUAAUGAAAAUUCUGAAGAAAUGCCACCGGACAUAGCCAACGCACCUACGCUGUUGUUAUUCAUUUCCUGCUUUUCACAGAAAACAAUUUUGUUGCAUGGAAGAUCGUGAACUUCAAAGGGCAGAGGGGAAACUGUCCCUUGGCCUCUACCCCUCCAAGGCCCCACUUUUUUGUCAACACUCCUUGGACGCAGCAGAAGUAUGAACAUAAUAUGGUCCUGAAUGAGGCUGAGUCUUUGGGCGCAGAAGACCCGGGUUAAUAAAAAUAGGAAGGUAAGAAAAGAAAAGAAAAAUCAAGACACAUCAUAGGACUAAAUUCCUAUUAUUUAUCCACUCAGGAUUGACCACCCCUUUGGGCCAGAUAGUUGUACCCCCAUGUACCAGGUGGGCACAUGAAGACACAAGAAGUGCUGUGAUGGUUCAUUUUGCACGUCACCUUGCGUGGAGUAUGCCAACUCAUUGUUUGGUCAAACACUAGUCUGGACAUGGUGGUAAAGGUAUUUUUUAGAUGAGAUUAACACUUAAAUCAGUAAAGCAGGUUACCCACCAUACUACGGGUGGGCCCUGUCCAAUCAGUUGAAGGCAUUAAGAACAAAGAUUGAGGUUUCCUAAAGAAGAUGGAAUUCUCCUUGAGACUACAACAUAGAAACCCUAUCUGAGUUUCCAGCCUGUUGCCCUGUGGAAUUCAAACUCAGGACUCCGGUCUAUGACAUUAACCCUCACUUAACUUUUCAGCCUGCCAGCCUGCCCUAUGGAUUUCGGACUUGCCAGCCACACAAUUCCUUAAAAUAAAUCUCUCCGUCUCUGUC
rnacentral:lncRNA from 1 species